UGGGGAAUUGUUCGCAAUGGGCGCAAGCCUGACGACGCAACGCCGCGUGGAGGAUGAAGGUCUUCGGAUUGUAAACUCCUGUUGCCCGGGACGAAAAGCUCUGACCUAACACGUUAGAGUCUGACGGUACCGGGUGAGGAAGCCCCGGCUAACUCUGUGCCAGCAGCCGCGGUAAUACAGAGGGGGCAAGCGUUGUUCGGAAUUACUGGGCGUAAAGGGCGCGUAGGCGGCCUGUUAAGUCGAACGUGAAAUCCCCGGGCUCAACCCGGGAACUGCGUCCGAUACUGGCUGGCUUGAAUCCGGGAGAGGGAUGCGGAAUUCCAGGUGUAGCGGUGAAAUGCGUAGAUAUCUGGAGGAACACCGGUGGCGAAGGCGGCAUCCUGGACCGGUAUUGACGCUGAGGCGCGAAAGCCAGGGGAGCAAACGGGAUUAGAUACCCAUGUAGUCCCUGAGCGGGCUGGCAAGGCGCAU
rnacentral:rRNA from 1 species